UAACACAUGCAAGUCGAACGAUUAAAGCACCUUCGGGUGUGUAUAAAGUGGCGAACGGCUGAGUAACACGUGGGCAACCUGCCCCUCUCAUUGGGAUAGCCACGGGAAACCGUGGAUAAUACCGAAUACUUCGAGACUUCCGCAUGGAAGACUCGAGAAAGCUCCGGCGGAGAGGGAUGGGCCCGCGGCCUGUUAGCUUGUUGGUGGGGUAACGGCCUACCAAGGCAAUGAUGGGUAGCUGGGUUGAGAGACCGACCAGCCAGAUUGGGACUGAGACACGGCCCAGACUCCUACGGGAGGCAGCAGUGGGGAAUCUUGCACAAUGGGCGAAAGCCUGAUGCAGCGACGCCGCGUGCGGGAUGAAGGCCUUCGGGUUGUAAACCGCUUUCAGCAGGGACGAGGCGAAAGUGACGGUACCUGCAGAAGAAGCCCCGGCUAACUACGUGCCAGCAGCCGCGGUAAUACGUAGGGGGCAAGCGUUAUCCGGAUUCAUUGGGCGUAAAGCGCUCGUAGGCGGUCUGUUAGGUCGGGAGUUAAAUCCGGGGGCUCAACCCCCGUUCGCUCCCGAUACCGGCAGACUUGAGUUUGGUAGGGGAAGGUGGAAUUCCUAGUGUAGCGGUGGAAUGCGCAGAUAUUAGGAAGAACACCAGUGGCGAAGGCGGCCUUCUGGGCCAUAACUGACGCUGAGGAGCGAAAGCUAAGGGAGCAAACAGGAUUAGA
rnacentral:rRNA from 1 species